rnacentral:rRNA from 1 species
GGUUUGAUCCUGGCUCAGAUUGAACGCUGGCGGGAUGCUUCGCCACAAGUCGAACAGCAGCACGGACUUCGGUCUGGUGGCGGGUGGCGAACGGGUGAGUAAUGUAUCGGAACGUGCCUAGUAGCGGGGAGAUAACUGGCGUAGCUAAUACCGCAUACGCCCUUCGGGGAAAGCGGGGGACCUUCGGGCCUCGCACUAUUAGAGCGGCCGAUAUCGGAUUAGCUAGUUGGUGGGGUAACGGCUCACAAAACGACGAUCGUAGCUGGUUUGAGAGGACGACCAGCCGCACUGGGACUGAGACACGGCCCAGACUCCUGCAGGAGGCAGCGAGCAGAACACCUGGACAAUGGGGAAACCUGAUCCAGCCGCCGUGCGAUGAAGGCCUUCGGGUUGUCAGCACUGGCGGGAAAGAAACGGCACGGGACCGUGCAGCCGUGACCACCGAGAGUAAGCACCGGCUAACUACGUGCCAGCAACCGCGGUAAUGGGGUGCAAGCGUUAAUCGGAAUUACUGGGCGUAAAGCGUGCGCAGGCGGUUCGGAAAGAAAGAUGUAAGAAAUCUGAGCUUAACUUUGGAACUGGCCCCCAACCUGAGCCGGUGUGUCAGAGGGAGGUGGGGAAUUCCGCGCGUCAGCAGUGAAAUGCGUAGAUAUGCGGAGGAAUUUACCGAUGGCGAAGGCAGCCUCCUGGGAUAACACUGACAGCUCAUGCACGAAAGCGUGGGAGCAAACAGGAUUAGAUACCCUGGUAGUCACCUAAACGAUGUCAACUAACGCUGUUGGAGACCGGGCCUUGGUAAGCUUCCAACUAACGCGUGAAGUUGACCGCCUGGGAAGCCUGAUCGCAGAUUAAACUCAAAGGGAUGGCCGAGAGGGACCCGCACAAGCAGUGGAUGAUGUGGAUUAAUUCGAUGCAACGCGAAAAACCUUACCUACCCUUGACAUGUCUGGAAUCCCGAAGAGAUUUGGGAGUGCUCGCAAGAGAACCGGAACACAGAGUGCUGCAUGGCUGUCCGUCAGCUCGUGUCGUGAGAUGUUGGGUUAAGUCCGCAGCAGGCGCAACCCCUUGUCAUUAGUUGCUACGAAAGGGAGCACUCUAAUGAGACUGCACGACGACCAAACCGGAGGAAGGUGGGGAUGACGUCAAGUCCUCGUGGCCCUUGCGGAGUAGGGCUUCACACGUCAUACAAUGGUCGGGACAGAGAGUCGCCAACCGCGAGGGAGCCAAUCCCAGGAAACCGAUCGUAGUCCGGAUCGCAGUCUGCAACUCGACUGCGUGAAGUCGGAAUCGCUAGUAAUCGCGGAUCAGCAUGUCGCGGUGAAUACGUUCCGGGUCUUGUACACACCGCCCGUCACACCUUGAAUUGGGAUUUUACCAGAAGUAGUUAGCCUAACCCGUAAGGAGGGCGAUUACCACGGUAAGUUCGCUGACUGGGAGUGAAGUCAUGGAGUAA